GACGAACGCUGGCGGCGUGCUUAACACAUGCAAGUCGAACGGAAAGGCCCUGCUUUUGUGGGGUGCUCGAGUGGCGAACGGGUGAGUAACACGUGAGUAACCUGCCCUUGACUUUGGGAUAACUUCAGGAAACUGGGGCUAAUACCGGAUAGGAGCUCCUGCUGCAUGGUGGGGGUUGGAAAGUUUCGGCGGUUGGGGAUGGGCUCGCGGCUUAUCAGCUUGUUGGUGGGGUAGUGGCUUACCAAGGCUUUGACGGGUAGCCGGCCUGAGAGGGUGACCGGCCACAUUGGGACUGAGAUACGGCCCAGACUCCUACGGGAGGCAGCAGUGGGGAAUAUUGAACAAUGGGCGGAAGCCUGAUGCAGCAACGCCGCGUGCGGGAUGACGGCCUUCGGGUUGUAAACCGCUUUCGCCUGUGACGAAGCGUGAGUGACGGUAAUGGGUAAAGAAGCACCGGCUAACUACGUG
rnacentral:rRNA from 1 species